UGUGUAUCAGUACAUAGGCAUAUCAAUAAGCGGAGGAAAAGAAACUAACAAGGAUUCCCUAGUAACGGCGAGUGAAGCGGGAAGAGCUCAAAUUUGAAAUCUUCAAGGUUCUACCUUGACGAAUUGUAGUUUAUAGAAGUGUUUUCUGUUAGUAGAGUGGCAAAAGUUCUUUGGAAUAGGACAUCAUAGAGGGUGAGAAUCCCGUAUUUGGUCAUUCUUUCUAGCUUUGUGAUACACUUUCAACGAGUCGGAUUGUUUGGGAAUGCAGUCCAAAAUGGGUGGUAAAUUUCAUCUAAAGCUAAAUAUUGGCGAGAGACCGAUAGCGAACAAGUACCGUGAGGGAAAGAUGAAAAGAACUUUGAAAAGAGAGUUAAACAGUACGUGAAAUUGUCAAAAGGGAAGCGUUUGACACCAGUGUUGUCUUUCCGAAAAUCAAUUACGAAUGUUUUGUUUUUGAGAAGUUAUGACUUCAUCGGCUUGCUUCUCUCUUUACGAAACUUUCUUAAUGCACUUUUCGGUUAACAAGUCAACAUCAAUUUCUUUUGUUGUAAAAGGGUAUGAGGAAGGUGGCUUUCUUUUCGGAGAAAGUGUUUAUAGCCUUGUACCUCUGCAAUCGGAGAGAUUGAGGUCUGCAGCGUAGAUCCUUCGGGGUUAGAUACAUAUGUGCUAAGUUAUAGCUUUUCAUAGACAACUUGUUGACUAUGUUAAGUCUUGUAGCUUACUCGCUUAUGCUAUUUUACCUACGCUUAGGAUGUUGACAGCAGUAUAGACUGU
rnacentral:rRNA from 1 species